AACGAACGCUGGCGGCAUGCCUAACACAUGCAAGUCGAACGAGACCUUCGGGUCUAGUGGCGCACGGGUGCGUAACGCGUGGGAAUCUGUCCUCUGGUUCGGAACAACAGUUGGAAACGACUGCUAAUACCGGAUAAUGACUUCGGUCCAAAGAUUUAUCGCCUGAGGAUGAGCCCGCGUAGGAUUAGCUUGUUGGUGAGGUAAAAGCUCACCAAGGCGACGAUCCUUAGCUGGUCUGAGAGGAUGAUCAGCCACACUGGGACUGAGACACGGCCCAGACUCCUACGGGAGGCAGCAGUGGGGAAUAUUGGACAGUGGGCGAAAGCCUGAUCCAGCAAUGCCGCGUGAGUGAUGAAGGCCUUAGGGUUGUAAAGCUCUUUUACCCGGGAUGAUAAUGACAGUACCGGGAGAAUAAGCCCCGGCUAACUCCGUGCCAGCCGCCGCGGUAACAC
rnacentral:rRNA from 1 species